rnacentral:rRNA from 1 species
CGCAAGGCGACAGCCUCCCUGUUGCUGUUGGUCGUCUGGGAGAUUUGGAAAGAAGGGAACGCGAGGGUUUUCCAGGGCAAGUCCACCUUACCCACUAGGGUUGUAGCCUUGACAAAGAGUGAGGCGAGGAAUUGGGUAAUUGUUGGGGCAAAAAAAUUGAGCUCGAUCAUGCCGCGAGAGUAG